UCCGGCGGCGUAAAAUCAACAAGCCUCCGCUUAGGUGGAUUUCGGGAUGGUGCGUUUUGUGAGUUACGAUCGAGCUCACCGGGGCGAGAGCUUAUAGGAGUGGCCACAGAAUUAUUCGUUAGAAGCGGUAAGCCAGGAGGGGCAGUAAGUAACGUAGUGUGCGUGUUAGCAUUAGUUGCGUGGAACGCGGCUAGAACAUCUUUCUUGACUGCGUCCAAGGCAUCCGUGAGACGACAAUCAAAUUCUCCAAGAAGCUCCAGCUUCAGCUAGUGCAGAUCCAAAGAGUUUGUGAGUCAGGACGUUUCAGCUCGGACAUGACCACCUCACACACACUCAAGCAGCCAAAGUGGAGCAGCACAGGAGGGGCAGGAUUCGGCCAUGAUGAAGAAAGAAACGAACGACAACACACUAACACACGCGAGGUUGAGUGUAUAUGAUCCCGGCACGAUGCGGUUUUGAUUCAAUCUUCGAACGGAAAUUAAGCUGCGGGGCUUGUACACUUGAUGAAAACCUUAUCACUGGAUGAUAAAUCGACCAGAGAUGGACUAGUUGAGCGCGUGCAGAAGCGAUAUGAGAUUGAAAAACACGUGCAAAAACGGUCGAAAUGUUGGAGUGCGA